rnacentral:rRNA from 1 species
AAAAACAUCGUCUUCUGAAAAUCAUUGAUAGAAGAUAAUGCCUGCCCAGUGAAAUUUUAAACGGCCGCGUUAGCGUGAGCGUGCUAAGGUAGCGUAAUAAUUAGCCUUUUAAUUGAAGGCCAGUGAAUGGCAAGACUAGGAACAUCUUUACUUUGUAUAUAAAAAAAACUUCUUACCCAAGUGAAAAAACUUGGAUAAUAAAAGUAGACGAAAAGACCCCGCGGAGCUUUACCUUUUCUUAUACUAUUGUAUAUCCUCUAUAAGUAAUUAAGGUUUGAUUGGGGCAAUCUUGGAACCAAUAAAGCUUCCAAUUUUUAAUAAAAUCUAUUUAAAAUUUAUUAAGGACCAAAAAGAAGUUACCCCGGGGAUAACAGCGUAAUCCAACUUAAGAGUACAUAUCGAAAGUUGGGUUUGCGACCUCGAUGUUGGCUUAAGGAUAUCCACAUAAGUGCAACCG